rnacentral:rRNA from 1 species
AUUUGAAAGCUGGCCCCCCCGGGGGUCCGCGUUGUAAUUUGUAGAGGAUGAUUCGGCGAGGGCUCCCGCCUAAGUCCCCUGGAACGGGGCGUCAUAGAGGGUGAGAAUCCCGUAUGCGGUGGGCUGCCUUAGCCACGUGAAUCUCCUUCGACGAGUCGAGUUGUUUGGGAAUGCAGCUCUAAAUGGGAGGUAAAUUUCUUCUAAAGCUAAAUACCGGCCAGAGACCGAUAGCGCACAAGUAGAGUGAUCGAAAGAUGAAAAGCACUUUGGAAAGAGAGUUAAAAAGUACGUGAAAUUGUUGAAAGGGAAGCGCUUGCAGCCAGACUUGUCCGCAGUUGCUCAGCCGGUCUCCUGACCGGCGCACUCUUCUGCGGCCAGGCCAGCAUCAGUUCGGGCGGUCGGAUAAAGGCCCCGGGAACGUAGCUCCUCUCGGGGAGUGUUAUAGCCCGGGGUGGAAUGCGGCCAGCCCGGACUGAGGAUCUCGCUUCGGCUAGGAUGCUGGCGUAAUGGCUGUAAGCG